GAUGAACGCUGGCGGCGUGCCUAAUACAUGCAAGUCGAGCGAACGGACGAGAAGCUUGCUUUUCUGAUGUUAGCGGCGGACGGGUGAGUAACACGUGGAUAACCUACCUAUAAGACUGGGAUAACUUCGGGAAACCGGAGCUAAUACCGGAUAAUAUUUUGAACCGCAUGGUUCAAAAGCGAAAGACGGUCUUGCUGUCACUUAUAGAUGGAUCCGCGCUGCAUUAGCUAGUUGGUAAGGUAACGGCUUACCAAGGCAACGAUGCAUAGCCGACCUGAGAGGGUGAUCGGCCACACUGGAACUGAGACACGGUCCAGACUCCUACGGGAGGCAGCAGUAGGGAAUCUUCCGCAAUGGGCGAAAGCCUGACGGAGCAACGCCGCGUGAGUGAUGAAGGUCUCCGGAUCGUAAAACUCUGUUAUUAGGGAAGAACAUAUGUGUAAGUAACUGUGCACAUCUUGACGGUACCUAAUCAGAAAGCCACGGCUAACUACGUG
rnacentral:rRNA from 1 species